GUGGGGAGCAAACAGGAUUAGAUACCCUGGUAGUCCACGCCCUAAACGAUGUCGACUAGUUGUCGGGGAUUCACUUCUUCGGUAACGCAGCUAACGCGUGAAGUCGACCGCCUGGGGAGUACGGUCGCAAGAUUAAAACUCAAAGGAAUUGACGGGGACCCGCACAAGCGGUGGAUGAUGUGGAUUAAUUCGAUGCAACGCGAAAAACCUUACCUACCCUUGACAUGCCAGGAACCUCGCAGAGAUGUGAGGGUGCUCGAAAGAGAGCCUGGACACAGGUGCUGCAUGGCUGUCGUCAGCUCGUGUCGUGAGAUGUUGGGUUAAGUCCCGCAACGAGCGCAACCCUUGUCACUAGUUGCUACGAAAGGGCACUCUAGUGAGACUGCCGGUGACAAACCGGAGGAAGGUGGGGAUGACGUCAAGUCCUCAUGGCCCUUAUGGGUAGGGCUUCACACGUCAUACAAUGGCCGGUACAGAGGGUUGCCAACCCGCGAGGGGGAGCCAAUCCCAGAAAACCGGUCGUAGUCCGGAUUGCAGUCUGCAACUCGACUGCAUGAAGUCGGAAUCGCUAGUAAUCGCGGAUCAGCAUGUCGCGGUGAAUACGUUCCCGGGUCUUGUACACACCGCCCGUCACACCAUGGGAGUGGGUUUCACCAGAAGCCGUUUGCCUAACCGCAAGGAGGGCGGCGACCACGGUGAGAUUCAUGACUGGGGUG
rnacentral:rRNA from 1 species